UACAGAGGGUGAGAACGUUGCUCGGAAUUACUGGGCGUAAAGCGCGUGUAGGCGGGUCGGCAAGUCAGGCGUGAAAUCCCCAGGCUCAACCUGGGAACUGCGCUUGAAACUGCCGGUCUUGAGUAUCGGAGAGGGUGGCGGAAUUCCUGGUGUAGAGGUGAAAUUCGUAGAUAUCAGGAGGAACACCGGUGGCGAAGGCGGCCACCUGGACGAUUACUGACGCUGAGACGCGAAAGCGUGGGGAGCAAACAGG
rnacentral:rRNA from 1 species